rnacentral:tRNA from 1 species
GGGCGUGUAGCUCAGCCAGGCAGAGCAGAGGGCCUUUAACCCUCGGGUCGUGGGUCCGAAUCCCACCACGCCCG